AUGAAGUGAAUGUUGAGAAGGGUUGUAGCUGGCCUCUUGGGGUAUGUGCACACCUUGAUCACAUAUCCACCUAUCACACCUGUGCACUAUGUGUAGCUUGGGAUGAUUACAAUAUUGGAAACAAUGUUGGAAAGCCCUAGCUAUGAAUUUUUAUACACCCACAUAUAAAGUUUAUAGAAUGGAUAAUAUUAUAGCGUAUAAUUACGCAAAUAUAUA
rnacentral:misc_RNA from 1 species